rnacentral:rRNA from 1 species
GAUGAACGCUAGCUACAGGCUUAACACAUGCAAGUCGAGGGGAAACGAUAGAGAAAGCUUGCUUUUUCUAGGCGUCGACCGGCGCACGGGUGAGUAACGCGUAUCCAACCUGCCCAUCACUUGGGGAUAACCUUGCGAAAGUAAGACUAAUACCCAAUGACGUCCAUAGAAGACAUCUGAAAUGGAUUAAAGAUUUAUCGGUGAUGGAUGGGGAUGCGUCUGAUUAGCUUGUUGGCGGGGUAACGGCCCACCAAGGCGACGAUCAGUAGGAGUUCUGGGAGGAAGUUCCCCCACAUUGGAACUGAGACACGGUCCAAACUCCUACGGGAGGCAGCAGUGAGGAGUAUUGGUCAAUGGACGAGAGUCUGAACCAGCCAAGUAGCGUGCAGGAUGACGGCCCUAUGGGUUGUAAACUGCUUUUAUAAGGGAAUAAAGUGGGAGUCGUGACUCCUUUUGCAUGUACCUUAUGAAUAAGGACCGGCUAAUUCCGUGCCAGCCGCCGCCGUAA